ACUCCUACGGGAGGCAGCAGUAGGGAAUCUUCCACAAUGGGCGCAAGCCUGAUGGAGCAACACCGCGUGAGUGAAGAAGGGUUUCGGCUCGUAAAGCUCUGUUGUUAAAGAAGAACACGUAUGAGAGUAACUGUUCAUACGUUGACGGUAUUUAACCAGAAAGUCACGGCUAACUACGUGCCAGCAGCCGCGGUAAUACGUAGGUGGCAAGCGUUAUCCGGAUUUAUUGGGCGUAAAGAGAGUGCAGGCGGUUUUCUAAGUCUGAUGUGAAAGCCUUCGGCUUAACCGGAGAGGUGCAUCGGAAACUGGAUAACUUGAGUGCAGAAGAGGGUAGUGGAACUCCAUGUGUAGCGGUGGAAUGCGUAGAUAUAUGGAAGAACACCAGUGGCGAAGGCGGCUACCUGGUCUGCAACUGACGCUGAGACUCGAAAGCAUGGGGUAGCGAACAGGAUUAGAUACCCUGGUAGACUGUCA
rnacentral:rRNA from 1 species